rnacentral:rRNA from 1 species
UACACUCCUGCGGGAGGCAGCAGUGGGGAAUUUUGGACAAUGGGCGAAAGCCUGAUCCAGCAAUGCCGCGUGAGUGAAGAAGGCCUUCGGGUUGUAAAGCUCUUUUGUCAGGGAAGAAACGGUGAGAGCUAAUAUCUUUUGCUAAUGACGGUACCUGAAGAAUAAGCACCGGCUAACUACGUGCCAGCAGCCGCGGUAAUACGUAGGGUGCAAGCGUUAAUCGGAAUUACUGGGCGUAAAGCGUGCGCAGGCGGUUUUGUAAGUCUGAUGUGAAAUCCCCGGGCUCAACCUGGGAAUUGCAUUGGAGACUGCAAGGCUAGAAUCUGGCAGAGGGGGGUAGAAUUCCACGUGUAGCAGUGAAAUGCGUAGAUAUGUGGAGGAACACCGAUGGCGAAGGCAGCCCCCUGGGUCAAGAUUGACGCUCAUGCACGAAAGCGUGGGGAGCAAACAGGAUUAGAUACCCCAGUAGUCCCAUGA